AUUGAACGCUGGCGGCAUGCUUUACACAUGCAAGACGAACGGCAGCGCGGUCUUCGUCCUGGCGGCGAGUGUCGAACGGGUGAGUAAUGCAUCGGAACGUGCCCAGUAGUGGUGUAUAACCCGUCGAAAGCCGGAUUAAUACCGCAUACUACCUGCGGGUGCUAGCGGGGGACCGAAAGGCCUCGCGGUAUGGUAGGGACGGAUGGCUGAUUAGCUAGAUGGUGGGGUAGAGGCUUACCAAGGCUACGACGGGUAGCCGGUCUGAGAGGGUGACCGGCCACAGGGGGACUGAGAUACGGCCCAGACGCCGACGGGAGGCAGCAGUGGGGAAUAUUGCACAAUGGGCGGAAGCCUGAUGCAGCAACGCCGCGUGCGGGAUGACGGCCUUCGGGUUGUAAACCGCUUUCGCCUGUGACGAAGCGUGAGUGACGGUAAUGGGUAAAGAAGCACCGGCUAACUACGUG
rnacentral:rRNA from 1 species